UACGGGGGGGGCAAGCGUUUGUUCGGAAUUACUGGGCGUAAAGGGCUCGUAGGCGGUUUGUCGCGUCGGGGAGUGAAAACACGGGGCUUAACCCCGUGCCUGCUUCCGAUACGGGCAGACUAGAGGUAUGCAGGGGAGAACGGAAUUCCUGGUGUAGCGGUGAAAAUGCGCAGAUAUCAGGAGGAACACCGGUGGCGAAGGCGGUUCUCUGGGCAUUACCUGACGUGAGGAGCGAAAAGUGUGGGGAGCGAACAGG
rnacentral:rRNA from 1 species